rnacentral:rRNA from 1 species
AUUGAACGCUGGCGGCAGGCCUAACACAUGCAAGUCGAACGGUAACAGGAAGCAGCUUGCUGCUUCGCUGACGAGUGGCGGACGGGUGAGUAAUGUCUGGGAAACUGCCUGAUGGAGGGGGAUAACUACUGGAAACGGUAGCUAAUACCGCAUAAUGUCGCAAGACCAAAGAGGGGGACAUUCGGGCCUCUUGCCAUCGGAUGUGGCCAGAUGGGAUUAGCUAGUAGGUGGGGUAACGGCUCGCCUAGGCGACGAUCCCUAGCUGGUCUGAGACGAAGACCAGCCACACUGGAACUGAGACACGGUCCAGACUCCUACGGGAGGCAGCAGUGGGGAAGAUUGCACAAUGGGCGCAAGCCUGAUGCAGCCAUGCCGCGUGUAUGAAGAAGGCCUUCGGGUUGUAAAGUACUUUCAGCGGGGAGGAAGGCGAUAAGGUUAAUAACCUUGUCGAUUGACGUUAUCCGCAGAAGAAGCACCGGCUAACUCCGUGCCAGCCGCCGCCGCGG